AUCUGCGAACGGCUCAUUAUUAACACCCGUAAUCUACCCAGUUUUCGUAUCCAAAACGGAUAUCUGCGUUAAUUUUGGAGCUAAUACGUGCACCAAAGCACCGCCAGCAAUGGUAGUGCGCACAUAUUAGAUCAAGACCUAUUGGGGCAACCCACUUGAUGACUCUGAAUAUUUUUGCGGAUCGCAUGGUCUUGUACCGGCGACGUACUGGUCGAGCGGGUGCCCUAUCAACUAUUGAUGGAAGUCUAUGUGUCUUCCAUGGUUGUAACGGGUAACGGAGAAUAAGGGUUCGACUCCGGAGAGCUAGCCUUAGAAACGGCUAUCACAUCCAAGGAAGGCAGCAGGCGCGUAAAUUACCCACUCUCAAUUCGAGGAGGUAGUGACUAUCAAUAACGAGACAGAUCUCUUUGAGGUCUGUCAUUGAAAUGAGCACAACUUAAAGACUUUAACGAAGUCUAUGGGAGGGCAAGUCUGGUGCCAGCAGCCGCGGUAAUUCCAGCUCCCAACGUGUAUAUCGUCAUUGCUGCGGUUAAAAAGCUCGUAGUUGGAUCUAAGUUCAUGACUGUAGUUCUCCAUGUGAGAUACUGCUAGUCUGGACUGUUUCGCCGGUUUUCCGUAGCUUCGGCUGCGGUGACUGGUGUUGUAACUUUGAUUAAAUCAAUGUGAUUAAAACAGGCGUUUGCUUGAAUGCUUUAUCAUGGAAUAAUAGAAUAUGACUUCGGUCCAUUCUGUUGGUCUUGGGAUUGAAGUAAUGAUUAAAAGGAACAACUCGGGGGCAUCCGUAUCGCUGCGUGAGAGGUGAAAUUCUUGGACCGCAGCGAGACGAC
rnacentral:rRNA from 2 species